CGUGGGUGCAUUGUAGUUGCAUUGCACGUUUUGCGUUCGAAAAGUCCAGUGCAGUACUUCUGCAAUGCAAACCAG
rnacentral:pre_miRNA from 14 species